rnacentral:rRNA from 1 species
UACGGAGGAUGCGAGCGUUAUCCGGAUUUAUUGGGUUUAAAGGGUGCGUAGGCGGACUGUCAAGUCAGCGGUAAAAUUGAGAGGCUCAACCUCUUCCCGCCGUUGAAACUGGUGGUCUUGAGUGGAUGAGAAGUACGCGGAAUGCGUGGUGUAGCGGUGAAAUGCAUAGAUAUCACGCAGAACUCCGAUUGCGAAGGCAGCGUACCGGCAUCCAACUGACGCUGAGGCACGAAAGCGUGGGGAUCAUACAGG